rnacentral:lncRNA from 1 species
GAGAUCUUAAGAUGAAAGCCAUCCAUUUGGCUCCUUAUGUGCUUCACAUAUGUUAAAUGCAAUGUUUAAUUAAUGAUAUAGGUUAUAGUGACUAUUCUUAGAAAUAUAUGUAGUCUAAGAAGAAAUGCAAACUUAUGACAAGUUCACGAUCACCAAAUAUAAACCUGCCCAAUAAGAUGAUUAUGAUGAAGUACGCAGUUUAACUCAAUGCAUGGGUGAGGGAAGGAUGGGUAGUUGUAAGAUCCAUACUUGGGAGAACUCAGCAUACAAUGUUAAAUAUGUUGUAGUUUACAAAGAUACACCACUUUAAAGCAAUCAUUUCACUUUCCUUUAAAAGCUAAUGCUGUUAAUUUAUUCAUAAAGGUGAGAAAGGCAUGCGUACCUUCGUUGUGUGGGUUAAAGGCAAUUAGUAAACACAACAGAGAACUGAGAUUUGGAGACAGCCUAGCUAACGUAACAGCUGGCUAGAGCAAUUGGUUAUCUUUUCAGAAAACUAAUUUUGUUGAACAGUAUGCUGUUCAUCAUGUGUUUGUGCAUUUAGGGCUGAAUCUUGAAGGAGAUGCAAGAGCUGAUUUUCAGGAUCAAGUAUUGGGGUAAAGAGACAAUGAGGAGGAGGCAGUCAGGAAUUGAUUUUCUUCCAGUGUUGAGGAAGUCAUACUAUGGC